rnacentral:pre_miRNA from 7 species
CUUCGGGGUUCUUGGGUGUCACACAAAUCUGUGGAACCUACAAAUGAAAGAACCUAGCAGGGAAACCCCCACUCAAGUCCUGAGUUGGUGCACACCCAAGGAAUAAUGAGAGACCA